CCUACGGGAGGCAGCAGUGGGGAAUAUUGCACAAUGGGGGAAACCCUGAUGCAGCGACGCCGCGUGAGUGAAGAAGGAUUUCGGUAUGUAAAGCUCUAUCAGCAGGGAAGAAGAAAGACGGUACCGGACGAAGAAGCCCCGGCUAACUACGUGCAAGCAGCCGCGGUAAUACGGAGGGGGCAAGCGUUAUCCGGAGUUACGGGGUGUAAAGGGAGCGUAGACGGCUGUGCAAGUCUGAAGUGAAAGCCCAGGGCUCAACCCUGGGACUGCUUUGGAAACUGUGGAGCUAGCGUGCUGGAGAGGUAAGUGGACUUCCUCGUGUAGCGGUGACAUGCGUAGAUAUUAGGAG
rnacentral:rRNA from 1 species